UGGGGAAUUUUGGACAAUGGGCGAAAGCCUGAUCCAGCCAUGCCGCGUGCAGGAUGAAGGCCUUCGGGUUGUAAACUGCUUUUUGUACGGAACGAAAAGACUCUGGUUAAUACCUGGGGUCCAUGACGGUACCGUAAGAAUAAGCACCGGCUAACUACGUGCCAGCAGCCGCGGUAAUACGCAGGGUGCAAGCGUUAAUCGGAAUUACUGGGCGUAAAGCGUGCGCAGGCGGUUAUAUAAGACAGAUGUGAAAUCCCCGGGCUCAACCUGGGAACUGCAUUUUGUGACUGUAUAGCUAGAGUACGGCAGAGGGGGAUGGAAUUUCCGCGUGUAGCGUGAAAUGCGUAGAUAUGCGGAGGAACACCGAU
rnacentral:rRNA from 1 species